rnacentral:rRNA from 1 species
GACGAACGCUGGCGGCGUGCUUAACACAUGCCAGUCGAACGGAAAGGCCCUGCUUUUGUGGGGUGCUCGAGUGGCGAACGGGUGAGUAACACGUUAGUAACCUGCCCUUGACUUUGGGAUAACUUCAGGAAACUGGGGCUAAUACCGGAUAGGAGCUCUUGCUGCAUGGUGGGGGUUGUAAAGUUUCGGCGGUUGGUGAUGGACUCGCGGCUUAUCAGCUUGUUGGUGGGGUAGUGGCUUACCAAGGCUCUGACGGGUAGCCGGCCUGAGAGGGUGACCGGCCACAAUGGGACUGAGGUACGGACCAGAAUCCUACGGGAGGCAGCAGUGGGGAGUAUUGCACAGUGGGCGGAAGCCUGAUGCAGAGACGCCGCGUGCGGGAUGACGGCCUUCGGGUUAUAAACCGCUUUCGACUGUGACGAGGAGUGAGUGACGGUAAUGGGUAAAAAAGCACCGGCUAACUACGUG